rnacentral:rRNA from 1 species
GAUGAACGCUAGCUACAGGCUUAACACAUGCAAGUCGAGGGGAAACGAUAUUGGAAGCUUGCUUCCGAUAGGCGUCGACCGGCGCACGGGUGAGUAACGCGUAUCCAACCUGCCCACCACUUGGGGAUAACCUUGCGAAAGUAAGACUAAUACCCAAUGAUAUCCCACGAAGGCAUCCGAAUGGGAUUAAAGAUUUAUCGGUGAUGGAUGGGGAUGCGUCUGAUUAGCUUGUUGGCGGGGUAACGGCCCACCAAGGCGACGAUCAGUAGGGGUUCUGGAGAGGAAGGUCCCCCCACAUUGGAACUGAGACA